GGAGAGAACAAAAUGUAUGCAAGAAAUAGUUUGCGGCUGCUCGGGCGUACCAACAAGAAGUAACACAAGGUCUUGCCGAUGCAGAUGUCCAGCAAUGAUAAGGUUGCUACGCUCAAAGAACAACGGAUGGUACAUAAGCGAGCACAGGGAAUUCCACAACCACUCUCUUACAGAUAAGUGUGGCCAGAAAAUAUAUUGGCCCUUGCAUAGACAUAUCGACAUCUAUACACAAGAUGUUAUCAAGCAGCUUCGUGCAAAUAAUAUUAGCAUUGGCAAAGUCUACAACAUAAUUGGCAGUUUCUUUGGCUCCAUGAGCAGUGUUCCUUUCAGCAAGAGAGCUUUGAGGGGCCUUUGUGGACAGAUAAGCCGGGAUCAGGCAGAUGAUGACGUUAGAAAGACAAUGGAAGUUUUUGCUGAAUUGGGAUCCAAAGAUUCUGGGUUGUACUACAGAGUACAACCAGAUACGGACGGUCACAUACGAAAUCUGUUACGGUCGACAGGCGCAAGCAGGGCACAGUACCAUUAUUUUGGAGAUGCGAUAACUUUUGAUACGACAUACCGUACAAACAUGUAUGAUAUGCCAUUUGGGUUGUUUGUUGGGGUCAACAGUCAUUUCCAAAGUGUCAUAUUCGGAGGAGUUUUAGUCAGAGAUGAGACAAUGGAAACAUUUGAACGGGUGUUCAUUAAGUUUAUCUGUAUGAUGGGCGGCAAGCAAGCAUCCUCAAACCAUACUAACAGACCAGUGCAGAGCUAUGGAAAUAGCAAUAGAGAAAGUGAUGCCCAACACAACACAUCGCUGGUGUAAGUGGCACAUCUUAAAAAAGGCAAGAAUCUCUUGGAGCACAUUACACAAAGAGGAGCAAGUUCCGAAUGGAAUUCCACAAGAUAAUACACAACAUGGAAGCAACUGACGGAAACACACGGUUUGCAGAAGCACCCUUACUUGACUCAGAUCUAUGAGACAAGAGAAAAAUGGGCAAAACCAUACUUCAAUGGCAAAUUCUGUGCAAAAAUGACCAGCACACAACGCAGCGUGAGUGCAAACCAUAUGAUCAAAACCUAUGUUCCAGCAAGCUGCCCCAUGCACCUAUUCGUGCGGCAAUAUAUGAGGCUUCUUUUCGAUAGAGAAGCAGCUGAGAACUACGAGGAAAGGCACACUAUGAUAAAUGCACCAUUGUGAGGAUGAACAUACCACUCGAGCAGCAUGCUAGCGAUGUAUACACCCGAGCUAUGUUUGAGAAAUUUGGUGAAGUACUGUAUGAAGCAGGGCAAUACAAGAUAGAGGAGGUAAGCAGAUGGAAAUCAUAUCUAGCACGAAGACACCACCCAGAAAGGCAUGAAAAAUGGUGCAGAAUAGUCUACAAAGGUUGAGGUUAUUGAUGAUGGCGCAGCGAUACUGUGCGAGUGUGGUAAUUUUGAACACACAUGCUUGCUUUCCUGCCACGCAUUGAAGGUCCUUGAUGUCCUUGGAAUGGAUCAGAUACCAGCAAAGCACAUUCUAAAACGUUGGACAAAGGAUGCAAGGGAUGUGUUGCCAGAUCAUCUUGCGCACCUUCAGAAAGAUAGGAUUAAUGUCAACUCUAUAACAUUCAAGCACUCGAAUUUAUACACUCAUGCACUUGAAGUUGUCCAUCUUGGUGAUGCCAACACAUCGACUUAUGAAUGUGCAAUGGAAAUGCUGAAGAAAGCAAUGGAUACGCUGACGCCCAUGGCCAGUGUCCGCAUCGGGAUGGGGCUUGAAGACAGAAUUCAUUCAGAUAAGGGAAAAGACAAGGAGCUGAUUCCAAUGCAUGCAGCAGAAAGUCAUGAAGAGAGCAAUGCUGAAGGUAGUGUUGUUGGAAAUUUCAUCGGCUUAAAGCCUCCAGAACGAAAGCAUAAACCAGGAAGACCUACUACCAGCAGGGACAAGCCUCCAUAUGAUGAUCGAUGUGCAAAAAGCAAAAGAUUCAAGGACGCAACAAAUGGAAAAGCUCAUGAUGGUUCUGGCACAAGCAAACGUACUCGUUUCUGCAGUAUAUGCCGUGGAGCAGGGCACAAGAGUACCACAUGUUCGCAGAGGGGUGAUCUCCCUCGCAAAGACAGGAAAGAGGCCAAAUGUUCAAACUGCGGUGGUGGUGGACACAAGAAGAACAUCUGCAACAAACCUAAAGUAGUGAUGCAUGUUGUUGAAAAUGCAACUUUGGAGCAGAUUUCCAUCUAGAAAAAACUGA